UACGUAGGGGGCUAGCGUUGUCCGGAAUCAUUGGGCGUAAAGCGCGUGUAGGCGGCCCGGUAAGUCCGCUGUGAAAGUCGGGGGCUCAACCCUCGAAUGCCGGUGGAUACUGUCGGGCUCGAGUACGGAAGAGGCGAGUGGAAUUCCUGGUGUAGCGGUGAAAUGCGCAGAUAUCAGGAGGAACACCGAUUGCGAAGGCAGCUCGCUGGGACGUUACUGACGCUGAGACGCGAAAGCGUGGGGAGCGAACAGG
rnacentral:rRNA from 1 species